GCGGCUGCGCGGUGCGUGAGGUCCGCAGCGCGCGAUGUCUCCCAGCGAGUGGGACGGCUUCAUCUUCCCGCUGACAGUCAUCGCCGGCUUCCCCAGCCCCGAGUCGUCCUGCUCGACACAACGGCACAACGAGCGGCCCCCACCUACCCCCAACCCAAUUGUUGCCAGAUGUUGUGGCUGCUGACUCAACAAUGGACAAUGGGGGAGACCUAACAAGCCCAGCAGCUCCGCAUUCGCACAUGAGGUGGCAACCGCACGGGUUGCUGCCCACCACGAUCCUCACCUGGGUCCAGACCCCGGCGCGUGCCGGUUUAUCCCAUGAGGGCGAGCGCCGUCGCGGCGUCACGUGGCGCAGGCGGCA